AUUGAACGCUGGCGGGAGGCCUAACACAUGAAAGUAGGGGGAGCGGCGGACGGGUGAGUAAUGUAAGGGGAUCUGCCUGAUGGAGGGGGAUAACUAAUGGAAACGGUGGCGAAGACCGCAUACCAUCAGAUGAACCCAGAUGGGAUUAGCUUGUAGGUGCGGUAACGGCGCACCUAGGCUACGAUCCCUAGCUGGUCUGAGAGGAUGAUCAGCCACACUGGGACUGAGACACGGCCCAGACUCCGACGGGAGGCAGCAGUGGGGAAUAUUGCACAAUGGGCGCAAGCCUGAUGCAGCCAUGCCGCUUGUAUGAAGAAGGCCUUCGGGUUGUAAAGUACUUUCAGUCGGGAGGCGUUACCGACAGAAGAAGCACCUGCUAACUCCGUGCCAGCCGCCGCGGUAAUUC
rnacentral:rRNA from 1 species